GGAAAGAUAACUCAGUUGGUAGAGUGGUGGGUUGAAGACUCACUCGUCGUUGGUUCAAGCCCAACUCUUUCCA
rnacentral:tRNA from 1 species